GACGAACGCUGGCGGCGUGCUUAACACAUGCAAGUCGAACGGAAAGGCCUGCUUUCCCUUGUGGAUUGCGGGUACUCGAGUGGCGAACGGGUGAGUAACACGUGAGUGAUCUGCCCCCAACUUGGGUAUAAGCCUGGGAAACUGGGUCUAAUUCCCGAUAGGACUGCAGGGUGGUGCCUGUGGUGGAAAACGAUUUUCUAGUGGUUGGGGAUGAGCUCGCGGCCUAUCAGCUUGUUGGUGGGGUAAUGGCCUACCAAGGCGGCGACGGGUAGCCGGCCUGGGAGCGUGGACGGCGACAUUGGGACUGAGAUACGGCCCAGACUCCUACGGGAGGCAGCAGUGGGGAAUAUUGCACAAUGGGCGUAAGCCUGAUGCAGCGACGCCGCGUGGGGGAUGACGGCCUUCGGGUUGUAAACUCCUUUCGACCGCGAGGAAGCCACCUGGUUGGAAGGGUGGUGACGGUAGUGGUAGAAGAAGCACCGGCUAACUACGUG
rnacentral:rRNA from 1 species